rnacentral:lncRNA from 1 species
CCCGGGGGCGUCUUCAGCUGGCCCUAUAAUUAUAUUAAGUGUUCGAUUAAACCUUAAACCUGUCACCUCGACGUUGUAAUAGCAUUCUUAGACUCUAUUGUAACACAUUCACUUUCCAAUAACUUCUAUUUUAAGAUACAGGUAGGAAACAUUCUGAAUCACACAUUAUCAAAACAGUAAAAUAAUUCCUAAAUCAAGUAUCACAUGGACAUGGAUAGUUGUUCCUACAGAUAAAGCAUCAAACAGUCACUUUA